GGAUUGAACCCAGGCCGUAUGCAUGCCAGGCGAGCGCGCUACCGCUUGAGCCACAUCCCCAGCCCUAUACUUUCUUUUAAGAGGCUUAUAGUAUCAGCUUUUAACUUUAGUCUGAUCCAUCUGUUUUUAAAUAUUUUUUUUUUUAGUUCUUGAUGGACCUUUAUUUUAUUUGUUUGUAUGCACUGCUCACACACACAGGCAAGUGCUGAGUCACAACCCCAGCCCUGAUCCAUCCAUUUUGAGUUAAUUUCGUGUAUGAUGUGAGGCAGGGUCCCAGCUCAUUUUUCUGCACAUGGAUCUCCCGUUGUCUCGGCACCAUUUGUUGGAAGAUGAUUCUCUCUCCAUUAAGUUGUCUUAGUACCUACUGUUUUCUCUGGUCUGGAGAAAUGACUCCCCUCAGAGAGACUGUAGCAGCCUGGCUAGCAUUUCCAGUGAGCAAGUAGGUGGCCCAUUGGGACAGAUGGCUUUCCCAGAGUCUCCCAAACCCCAGCAGUGCCCAGGAUAGGCGCUGGAGACACCAUCGGUUCCUGACACACUCGCUCAGCACCUCCUGUGCACCAGACCUGGGGACACGGUGGGAACCGAGGCGAGCUGGCCUGCGCUCUGGAUCUCACAUUCCACAGAAGGAGGAGAAAAGGAAGAUCACUGUGAUGUCUAUAACUGAUGACAGCGGCUGUGAAGAAGAAAAGAAGCAGGAUGCCUGCAUGCCCAUUUCACAGAGCGGUGAAGUGAUUUCCUAAAGCCACACAGGCAGGAAAACAGCAACCCUAAGACUUGAGCCAAGACUUGUCUGAAGUGCAGGCUGGUGUCCCAGCAACAGCGGCCUCCCUGUGAGAUGGUUGCCAAAAAGGGACCCAGGAGGCUACGGGGCAAAAUAGGAGGGCUGAGUUUGGGUGUCAGAAGCUCACCUUGAAUCCUGCCUCUCCCAUCACCUUGCUGACCAAGAGACUUAAAAUAUUUUAAAAUGAAUUAUUUUAUUACAAAAUGGUACCUGUUCAUCGUGUUACAUUUGAAGAAUGCAGAAUGGCAGAGAGAAAAUCAGAGCUCAGCCACUACCCUCCCACUCCAGUGUGUACGUGUGCUCUUGGACGUGUCCAUUCUCAGACGGAGGCUCCAGGCCGGUACUGAAGCUCCAUGAAGCCCUGGGCGCCCACAGCCCACUUCAUUUAUUGAACCUGGACUCCUCAGGCAUCUUCUGAAUCCUGGCCCAGCUCUUGCUGGAGAGACAGUACCAAGAAACUGGUAAGGACAACACAGCAAGGUCAGACAGUGACCAGGAGCCCUGGUGACGGGAACCUCUGGGCUGGGCUCCUACUCCAUGGGUGGGCCAGCCAUGAGGCCAAGGCUUGGAAGAUGAACAGGCAAGAGACAGAGGAUGGCAGGAAAAGUAUACCCGGCAGAGGGAACAACCUGUGCAGUGGCUCAGAGGCAGAGUAGGAUUGUCACAUUUGGGGAGCAGAGCAUCCACCCCUGUGAUUGGGACAUGGAGGGGGAGAUAGAGGUGGGGAUGACCACAAUGUCCCUGGCCCUUGCAGGGUACUGGAAGGACCAAAUGAGAGCAGGGUGAAGAAGUGUGCCAUGCUCAUUCCACAAAUGCAAGACAGAUUUUUCAAGGUGAUGUCUUAGCGUUUUUGCUGCUGUGACUAAAGGACUCAACCAGCACAAUUAUAGAGGAGGAAGAGUUUAUUUGAGGGCUCAGAGUUUUAGAGGUCUUAGUCCACAGAAGACCAGUUCCAUUCCUCAGGGUUCGAGGUAAGGCUGAACGUCAUGGCGGGAGAGUGUGGCAGAGGGAAGCAGCUCAUAUCAUGGUGAUC